rnacentral:lncRNA from 1 species
CGGAAGUGCUCCUUUUUAAACAUUUGAGUCAUCAAUCUCUACCAGUUCUCUCCAGUACAUAAAGGGUGAAUGCUCUUUCUGAAAUGGUAGGUGAUAACGUGUCCUUAUUCAUUUAUUCAGCAUCCUGGGGCACUUACAGUGUACCACGAACCAUACUGGGGGCUGAUGUCAUCAAGUAACUAAAAGUCUAGUCAGGGAGGCACAUUAUUUUUUUAAUUCCAAUGCAAUGAUAUAUGUUCACAUAUCACUGAUAUGUGAAGGUACACAUACCAAUCCGAAGGUAUGUAUAUCUUUUUAACCAAACAUUUGUUGACAGGAAGAGCAUAUUUUCCAGCUUGUCCAUCUUACAUCCAUUGUUCCCAUGGAAUGAUUAAUAGCAACCUAGUUUGGAAGGCAAAUUAUAGGGUUGCCCU